CAUUUUUCUUUCAUUUGGCAGAGAAGAGAGAAGGGUAUGAGUUGCCAGGUAGUGGAUGCAGAUGGAAGCGCUGGUGGGCCCAUUGGUUGAUCAUUGGUUGGGACCAUCUUACACAGAAAGUUCAUCCUAUUGCCCUUUCCCACUGUGUUAAUAUGGGAACACUCCUUCUCUUCUGUUUUAUGCCUGUAGUGAUUAACCCGGGCAUUUUUAAGUAGGCUGUGCCAGGAAGCACCUUUGCAAUUCCUGCUAUUUCAUAGCCUUUGCAAAAGUCCUAGGUUUUUGUUUUCUUCCCAAGAUUGAUUUCCUACCAGUUACGUCUACUAUUUCCCAUCCUCUCUGGCAAAAUUGCAAGGAGUGGCAUCAGCACAUCUUUGUACAGUAGGCGAAUAUAUUUGGAAUGCUUAUUUCUGAGAGCUGUUGAAGACGGCUAACAAUUUUACCCCACGCAGAAGGACUGACAAUAAAUUUAGGAGUGGCAAAUGGAACCACUGUUCUGUUUCCCUCUCAGUAAAUAAAUAACUGCAAAACCUGUACUCCAAUACCAGAGCGUCAAAUCCAUGGCGCUCUGUUGAUUAACACCGAAAAUGUCUUUGUGAAGAUGAUGCAUUUAGAAGAGUCCUAAGGCUCGCACCAGAAGCUGACACUGAAGGUUUAUUUUAAUGUAGCACAAAUCAGAGCGAACGACGUGAAAAGAGUUCUGUUUCUCCUGGAAGGAUGCCACUUGUUUCUACUCCAGGGGAAAUGUCUUCCAAGCUCUUUACCAAAUCUGCAAGCUGAACCAACUCAACUGUGGCUGCCUUGCCCACCUGAAGACCUCAGGAUCCACCAGCAGCCCAAGACACCUCGGAAGCUGUUUCAAGUGAUGCUGCCUGGAGUUAAAGGAGGCCAGGAGCACCAGAAGCUGGAGGAGGCCGGGGUGGAUUCUCGCCUGGAGGCUUCAGUGGGAGCACGAGCUCCCGACACUUCGGUUCCAUCUCUUGUUUAAAGGCACCCAGUUUCUCAUCAUUUGUUACAGCACCAUGGAAAACCCACACACAAGUGAAGCCCCGACCCACCUCCCAAGUGCCCAUCUGAGCACCCCUCGUGGACUCUGAGCAGGGGGUUGCCAUCACCAACUCCAAGUCUUGCAGCCCCUCUUCCCUUCAGUCUGGCUGCCACCUUCUUCAUUGCCCUGGAAAAAAAUAAUGAAGUUUCACCAUUUAAAGGGUUUCAGUGCAGCUUGCUAUGGGAACACUGGAGAGUAACACAAAUGGCCAAUUGUCCUAAUAGCCACCAUGGAUUGGAUGGAUGCUAACAACAGGCUCACAGUUCUCCUUCUGUUGCCUCCUUUUAUCCACAUGAGAAUCAAACAAGUAGGUGCUGCUGGUAUUACUGUAUUUUUCUCAUUUUAAAGAUCAGGAUGGGGAGGGUUGAGGAGGUUAAGGAAGUUGUUAGAAGUUACACUGAAGUUAAGAAAGGAAAAAGGACUUAGAAACUUAUUCUUCCAACUUUAGAACCACGGUCAGUGACCAAGGCCCUGCUUAGAACUUUCUGAAGGUUGCAGCUGGCCUUCUACCUGGAGUUUUGACUUCCUUUCCGAGAAAGGAACUUGAAUGGCAAUCACAAGAAAGUUGAGAACUUCUCUUUCAUAUUUUAA
rnacentral:lncRNA from 1 species